rnacentral:lncRNA from 1 species
AGAGUGAUGCGAUGUGAGAAAGAUGAAUUCCUCCCGGGAGCCUCUGGAGAGGAACACAGCCCUACCUGCACCUUGAUUUUAGCCUGAGACACAUUUCAGACUUCUGACUUCCAGAACUUGACUUCAUCCUUAGAUUGGCAGAAAAGUAAUUCUAGCCAUUCUGGCCUCACACCGUUACUCUUUCCAUGGCUCCCUCUUAAAAACAGAGAAAUUCUAUCCUGCAGAGCCUGAUCACCCUGACAAAAUAAUAAAAGUGAGAUCCCAAAAGGGAAAAGCUGAGGCCCAGACCCAGGACCAUAACAUCUCCAUCAAGGUGUAAUCUCCAGGAGGCCUGGCCUAAAUCUGCCAGCCAACUUCACCCUUACAUGGGAACUCUUCUAUCUGAGCAGGCCAACAAAAAACUCACCAAGCAGUCCCCUGACCUGUAAUUGAACAAAGGGCUCUUAUAAAGGGGCUUAAGCAGAGGGGUUAUGAGACAAGUCUUUAGAAUCAAAGAGAUCUGAGGAUAAAUCCUGGAUCCUCCUACCAGAGAGUGACCUUGAACAAGCCAUUUAACGUCUAAGACACAGUAGCCCCAAUUAUGAAAUGGAAAAUAUUUCAUAGAAUUGUUAUAAUGAUUAAAUGAGAUAAAGUUCACAAAGUGCCUGGCACAUGAUUAAUAGGUUUGGUUUUGUCUUUGUCAUAUGGUGGCGCUUGGUCAAUAUUAUGACUUUUACAUUUGACUAAAAGGUAUGUGAUAACCCUGCCCAAUGCAAUGCUCCACAGUAAGUGAGAGCUCAGCAAAUAUGGCUGAGUGACAAAAGUGGAGAAAAUGGGAGUGAAAUGUAAUCUGAGAUGCCAAUGUAAUUCGUAACAGCCCAUCUUGAUCCCAAUUAAAUCAGUGUGAGGCCUCUCAACAUAGGUGAAGUCUGAUCAUUGUCUGCUUCUCAAGUGGCAUUAAAGUAUCUUCAUAU